GACGAACGCUGGCGGCGUGCCUAAUACAUGCAAGUAGAACGCAGUUGCGAACGGGUGAGUAAAGCGUAGGUAACUGCCUCAUAGCGGGGGAUAACUAUUGGAAACGAUAGCUAAUACCGCAUCCUGUGAGAUGGACCUGCGUUGUAUUAGGUAGUUGGUGAGGUAAAGGCUCACCAAGGAGGCGAUCCAUAGCCGACCUGGGAGGAUGAUCGGCCACACGGGGAAGGAGACCCGGCCCAUAGUCCUACGGGAUGUAGCAGGAGGGAAUCUUCGGACAUUGACGGAAGUCUGACCGAGAAACGGCCCCGGAGUGAAGAAGGUCUUCGGAUUGGAAAACUCUGUUGUUAGAGAAGCGGUAACUAACCAGAAAGGACCGGCUAACUACGUGCCAGCAGCCGCGGUAAUUC
rnacentral:rRNA from 1 species